rnacentral:rRNA from 1 species
CCUACGGGAGGCAGCAGUGGGGAAUAUUGCACAAUGGGCGCAACCCUGAUGCAGCCAUGCCGCGUGUGUGAAGAAGGCCUUCGGGUUGUAAAGCGCUUUCAGUAGGGAGGAAAGGGUGUAGUUUAAUACGCUAUAUCUGUGACGUUACCUACAGAAGAAGGACCGGCUAACUCCGUGCCAGCAGCCGCGGU